AGCUGCUUGUUUUUCUGAGACACGCCCACUGAUUGGUCAGUGCCCUGUGUAACACACCCACCCAGUCUGUGGAAAUAGAUCGGAAAGUAUUGCCUCCUUUCCAUUUAAAGCAAUAGGCACAGACACAUUCUUUCAGACUUUAAAGUGCCAUGGUUUUAGAAUAUGUAUGUGAAGUAUUUUUGGCUGUACUUCAAGAUUAGUUUUAAUACACUUGUUGGCCUAUAUUAGCGUGCUGAAUUGGUGUGUAACAGGGGUCACCAAUCCUGUUCCUGAAGAUCUUAACUAAGGCUCCAUGUCCAUAUUGCACCCCCCUGAAAAGCACUGAGGCCAAGAGAAUCUGUGCAGGGGAUUUUUUUUUCUAUGACAAUAAACAGCUAACAACUACUUUAUAAUGUACGGUGAUAAAAAGUACUCAUUCUCAGCAGGUACAUGGCAUCUGCCCAGUCUACUAUUUUGAAGGAUAAAUCAUCUUACUGUAGACAGAAAGCAAAAAUUAAUUUCUUCUCCCGAUUGCCUGAAAAGGUGCUGCAAUGACAUCACAGCAUCUUCUUCAAAAAUUCGGGGGGGGGGGGGCUUGUGGGUUUAAAAAAAACAAAGAAAAACAGAGUGCUGUGUUUUUCAUGGAGGCGGCUGCAUACAUUCAUUAUAUGUAGAGCAAGUGAUGAAAAGAUGCCGAUACCAAGAAGGAAAUGCUAUAUGAGCACAGGGCCAAGUCAGGUGUGCUCAGCCAGUAAAACAUCCAAUGUUUGCAGCACGUACACAUGAAGAAUGUGCAGGGCAGGUGGUGACGCCUGGUGCACAAUGUGACCCCUUUAAGACAAUCUAUACCGACACCUCUAAAUCAAUGUUACUCAAAUGUUCAAGGUAAAUAAUGCACAUAGCACUGUUUAAAGAGGACUUGCACAAAGCUGAGUGUUGCCUUGCUGUUUUGCAAAAGUAGACAAUAUUGUAGUAUUCUCUUUCAAACCUCUGUUCGAUAGAGGUGGUGGUGGUUACGUGAUCGCCCGCCACUGUCUGAUGCUUGUCAUUGCAAAAAGAUCCUUUGCAGAAUUCAAACACUCCCAUCAAUUUUCUUUUCUUGUGGAAGAAACUGUAAAUUCUAAACAGGUCUAGAAUUUGUCAGACCAUUUUUCAGGAGGUUGAACUGUGCUAGUUUUAAAGCUAGCAUAAAUUGCUGCUUUUGCACAGUAGCGACUUGAGUCCACCUUGGUCGCAAACUUUACUUAACACUGUGGAAUAACUGGAGAUGCACCCAGCAGGAGCUGAGGACAUUUUAACAGAUGAACUGAGGUCUAAAUAACAUUGGUUCACAGAUUGUCC